CUUGCCUUUACAGGGCCCUUCCUUUUCAAAAAGUUAUGGAAAAAUGCCUGUAAUUAUACUGGUACAAGCACAAAUAUAAAGCAGACUAGAGCGAAUCCUUUUGCUUCACUUCUAGUCCUCAACAUUUCAGUAUGAAUCAUUUGAAGAAGGAUGGACCUGUCAGAGCUUAGAGACACUGCAGCCUCCUUCAGAAGAAGUGGCAUGGACUUUAAUGGAAAGAAAAAAUGCUUGGUUCAUGGUUAUAAGAACAUUUAUGCUGUGGUUGAGAUUAAAGGAAUGAAAAAUGAUGGAAAAAUAGUGGUUGAGACUGCAGAUGCAAAGGUCAAGGUAUCUUCAUUUCAUCUCUGGGAAUAACUAUGUUCUAUAUUUAAUAAAAUAAUUAAAAAUCAUUUUUCUUUAGCAUUUUCAUUAAAAUCUGAGGUAGGAGAUAGAUACCCUUUUUCUUUAGGAAGCCGCUACACAUAUCAUCAAAUAGAUUUAAUGAAGAACACUGAACAAAUCAGAGUAAAAUGAUUACCUGUGGUGGAGACCAUUAACUCUAGACCUCACAACCAUUCCCACUUCUUUUAUCAUCAGUGUUUUAAGUUUUUUUUAAGACUGCCUCUUGGAGUAAAUAGUGACCAAAUGAAUUAUGAAAGAAGUGGUGUUAUAAGAUCAAGAAAGAGAUGUAUAAUUUGAAUUAUAAAAAUAACAUAGAGUAGAAGCCAAGAGGUGAGAGAAUGGUUGGUAAUGUCAAAAGCUAGAAAAAGAGAUUAAUGGCUUAGAGAAAGACUUUGAUUUAAAAGUUAGGAGGUAUUCAAUGCUCUUUGAAAGAUAAAGGUAGUUCAAUUGUUGGGCAGUAGGCAGACCAUAAGCAUUCAGAGCAAAUGCGUAUUGAAGCCAUACCAGUCUCCAUGCCCUUAUCCCUAUCAACAGGGCAUUCAAAGCUUCAAGGUUAAUUUUGAGAAGGGAGUUCAUUCUCAGAACCUUUGUCUAAACCACUGACCUUAUGUUAUCUAUAGUCCUGUGGUACAAGGUGUCCCUCAUAUAGGUGUUCCCUCUGUCUUGGAUAAAUUCUUUCCUGUAAAUUUUACUGAUGAUGUUUUGCCUAUAAACUCACCUAUAAACUCCUUCCAAAUCUGCCCCUUCCCAACUCCAUUAGAAGCCACACAUUAUAACUCACAGGUGUAGUAAUUAUCAAGAAAAAUUGUCUUCUUUAUACUCAUCUUUUUUUAUUUGGACAAUUUAUGAGCUAAAAUACUGCAGGCCAAGUAUAAACUACAACUCAUAAUAUUUUAUUAUGCUUUCCUACCAGUCAGUGUCUGUAUGUAAAAACAAACCCAAAUUAGAUAAAUUCUAUAUAAAUAAUGGAAAUAAGGAAGGCACGUUUCAAUAAGAACACCAAUAGGUGGGCAAGGGAAAAUUUAUAACCUCUUGGGUUGGUAAAAUAAGAGGGAAAAAGGCCAUUUAAUCUUCAGACACUCUCUAGAAAGCAUAUUUGAAUGUCUCUUGUCUUUUUUCCAUCAUUCAUGCAAGCUUUUUCAGAGCAACUCUAAGAAUCUCAGUUCAAAUUAUUCACAUGAAUUAGUAAAAAAUUGAUUCUUCUGUCAAUUUUAUGUAAUAAUAAAAUUUUACAUGGAUCAAUUUCGCUGUUGGCAAUUUUUAGCGUUGAUUACUUCUGCCAAGUCUAAUUUUUCCUUACUCAGUAUUUCCAUGUUUCAAUGUGAGCAUGAAGACAUAAUUCUUCAGUCAGAUCCCAUGUCCAGUAAACAGUUUUAGUUUAUUUAUUUUCAUUUUAUUUAAAAAGCAGAGAGACAUAGAGAAACAGAGAGAGAGAAUCCUCCAUCCCCUGGUUCACUUUCCAAAUGCUUGCAAAAGUUGGGCCUUGGCCAGGCUGAUGCCAGGAGCCUAGAACUCUAUCCAAGUCUCUUAUGUGGGGGGUGGGGGCAGUGGACCAGGUUUAUAAGCUAUCACCUGAUACCUCCUUAGAUGCACAUUAGGGGGAAGCUGGACCAGAAGCAGAGGAACUGGAAUUUGAACCAGGUGCUAUGAUGUAGAAUGUAAUCAACCCAAAUAGCACCAAA